rnacentral:rRNA from 1 species
AAUGAACGUUGGCGGCGUGGAUUAGGCAUGCAAGUCGUGCGGAAAGGCUCCUUCGGGAGUACUCGAGCGGCGAAAGGGAGAGUAACGCGUGGAUAUCUACCCCCUGGCCUGGGAUAGCGGCGGGAAACUGCCGGUAAUACCAGAUAAUGUCUACGGACCAAAGGUGUGAUUCCGUCGGGGGAUGAGUUCGCGUCCUAUUAGCUUGUUGGUAGGGUAACGGCCUACCAAGGCGCAUAUGGGUACCGGGUGUGAGAGCAUGGCCCGGCUCACUGGGACUGAGACACUGCCCAGACACCUACGGGUGGCAG